rnacentral:tRNA from 1 species
GGCCGCGUGGCCUAAUGGCUAAGGCGUCAGAUUUCGGCUCCGAUCCCUUUCUCUGAAGAUUCCAGGUUCGACUCCUGGCGUGGUCG